GGCAUGAUUCAACCCUUGGUCUGCGAUCCUCCCAGCACUCUGAGGCCUGUAUCGCCCGAGAUGCUGUACUUGAGCGAUGGCUUCAAAAAAUCGAUCAGUGGAUCGAUGCGAUUCGCAAUAGUUCCUUGACAUCUUAUGAUGGAUUUAAUAACGACCCACCUUUUGAUUCGAGGAUCGUGCGGGAGCCGCUUUCUCCGCACUUCAAGGCUCCACAAUUGGAAAGAUAAGACAGGAUUGCCGAUCCCAUUGAUCAUCUUGAGAUCUUCAAGGUGGUGAUGCUCUUCUAUGGAGCCAUUGAUGUUAUCUUUUGCCAGACUUUCCCCUCAACUUUAAAGGGGG
rnacentral:lncRNA from 1 species